CCCGGCAAUGAAUUGCCGGGCUAUUUUCAUAUGUCCCUCCGGGACA
rnacentral:sRNA from 1 species